UCGGCCACAGGGAUUUUUAUACACCACCUUGUGUCGGUCCCAAGCCCGGAUAAAUGAGGAGGGUCUAGAGAAGGAUGGCGGUACAUUUUAAGUCAGAUGGUGGCCGUGCACAGCCAAGAACUGAGUGACUUCCUGAAAAACAUUUUCUUUCUGGGUCUCCACAUCCUCGCUUACCCACUAAAAGAACAUCUGCAUCUGGCCUGCUGACCCUUGAUACAGCUUUUUAAUGUUAUUUGCAGGAUAACAUUGAUCAGAUUCUGAUCAGCUUAACCCUUACACACAAUAAUUAUCAAAUAUAUAGAUGUAUUAAGCACGCAGUUAUUGUUGGCAAGAUGGUUCUAGGUCAAGCCUUAC
ensembl:processed_transcript